GACGAACCGUGCGAACGUUGUUCGGAUUCACUGGGCUUAAAGGGCGCGUAGGCGGGCUCACCAGUCAGGGGUGAAAGCUCCCGGCUCAACCGGGAAAGUGCCUUUGAUACUGUGAGUCUCGAGGGAGGUAGGGGCACGCGGAACUUCCGGUGGAGCGGUGAAAUGCGUAGAUAUCGGAAGGAACGCCGGUGGCGAAAGCGGCGUGCUGGACCUCUUCUGACGCUGAGGCGCGAAAGCCAGGGGAGCAAAGCGGG
rnacentral:rRNA from 1 species